rnacentral:misc_RNA from 1 species
AACGCACAUUGCGCCCCUCGGUAUUCCGGGGGGCAUGCCUGUUCGAGCGUCAUUACACCAAUCAAGCCCUGGCUUGGUCUUGGGCGUCGCGGUCCCCCGCGUGCCUCAAUGUCGCCGGCUGGUGCGUCCGUCUCCGAGCGUCGUGACUUCAUUGCUCGCUUCUGGAGGCCGGACGGACCGCGCCGUCAACCCCCCAUAUCUAUAGGUUGACCUCGGAUCAGGUAGGGAUACCCGCUGAACUUAA